rnacentral:rRNA from 1 species
CAGCAGCCGCGGGAAUACGAAGGGUGCAAGCGUUAAUCGGAAUUACUGGGCGUAAAGCGUGCGUAGGCGGUUUGUUAAGUCUGUUGUGAAAUCCCCGGGCUCAACCUGGGAAUGGCAAUGGAUACUGGCAAGCUAGAGUGUGUCAGAGGAUGGUGGAAUUCCCGGUGUAGCGGUGAAAUGCGUAGAGAUCGGGAGGAACAUCAGUGGCGAAGGCGGCCAUCUGGGACAACACUGACGCUGAGGCACGAAAGCGUGGGGAGCAAACAGGAUUAGAUACCCGAGUAGUCCCUGUCUCUUAUAC